rnacentral:tRNA from 1 species
GUCGGUGGUGCAGAAGGUUAAUGUGUUUGGGUGCUAACCAAAAGGUUGGAGGUUCAAGUCCACCCAGAGGCA